ACAAGAUUCAUACGGUGUCUUUCAUUUCAGUGCCUAUUACUCAUUUCAAUGAUUCAGCCGACCUAGACAGCAAAUGGACAUGAGAUGUGUGGAGAAAUCUACUGAAAAUGGGAUUGAUUGGGUUUUAAGAAACUAGAACUUAAGGCUGGAUGAGGCAGCAUUCUGAGAAUUUUAAGUUCCCAAGGCAUAAUGUUCAACAUUUACUGUCAAACCCAAUUUCUGGCUAAGCCAUUUAUGCUUUCUGAAUAAGCACUUUAAUUUUCAUUCACAUCUACUCACCUUUAAAAAAAUGGAAGUAUGCACCAAUUUUUAAAGAAAUAGGACCAACCUUGGAAACUUAUAAUUAUGAAUCUUUAUAUUUUUAUGAUAGUUGAUAGUUUACAAAGCUAGUUUCACUUGAUCUUUACAAAAACCCUAUGGGGUUAUAUUUUUAUUACCCACAUUUUAUAGAUAAGGAAUUAAAUCUCACAAAGGUUUGAAGACUUUCCCAAAAGUGUCAUAGGACAACUCAAAGUAGUUAACCCUAAGGCCCUGUAUCAGAAUGAUCACCUGCCUUUCCCCCACCAACCCACAUUCACCAGGUAGUGUCCAAGAGGCUCUGCCUCUUUCUCAAUGCCAUCGUUGGGUUGCCUCAUCCUACCUGCAAUGCUUACCUUCAAAGCAGGUGCUGAUAAUGUGUUUGGAUUUUGGAGGCUUGAUUAUGAAAUAAAACUGAAUAGUGCUGGACACAUGUUGAGUUUCAGUUUUCUGACCCUUCUCUUUUGAGACUCCAGGUCCAACCCUCAUCUGUACCUUCAGAUUCAUGGACACCACUGAUGAGGUUCUGGCUUGCUUCAUUUUCAUUCAUGACUUUGACUCCCAGACCAUAGUUUGAUCCUGGUUCUUCCAGCGUUGAUCUAGAAACAUCCUGACCUCUAAGGCACCAUCAAACCAAUUUUGUCCAAGAAGUGUAAAUAUCAUUGCCCAAAACAGAUCUAGCAACAACAAUUAACAUUUGCUGACCACUUACCAUGUGCCAAGCAUGAUUUCAAAACAGGCCACGCAAGAAUAAAUAGACACUAAACAAUUGGAUGUGAAAAAGAAGACAUUCCCAAAUGGUUCUCAAGAAGCCAACUGGAUGCUGUGUUCCUUGCAUGGUGCUAAGGGGCUCAAGCUGCCAUGGAUGCCCUUUUCGGGCCUUUCAGUAUGCAAAUAUGUACCAGGAGGGAAUAAUGUUUCCAUGGGAUGAAGUAACCAUAAUGUUGUACGUGGACGGCUAAUUGUUUUCAUCGCACAUGCCAAAUCCAACUGAUUAGUCAGGGCCUGGAGUCUGUUUGACGAAUGAGGAAAUCUUGCCACGGUCCAGAGAGGCAGCUGAAUAAUAGCACGAAUUUCCCAUCUCUGACAUCUCAGGUGUGAUGGGACAUGUGCAAACAACAUUGGCUCCUAAUCUGCUCUCAGUUAGCCAUGAAACUAAGGGCUAGCCUGUUGCCUCCCUGGGUCUUGGGUUCCUUAUCAAAUAAUAGUUUGGCUGGACUGUCCCUCUGGUCACUUCUAAAAUUCCUUUUCUUUAUCCAGCAGGAUUCUUGACCAAUCAGUACCAAGUCAAACCCUCACCCUUCCAUUUACCUUCACACUGCUGAAAUAAACUUUAUGCUCCCUAA